rnacentral:rRNA from 1 species
AACGAACGCUGGCGGCAUGCCUAACACAUGCAAGUCGAACGAGACCUUCGGAUCUGGUUGCGCACGGGUGCGUCACGCGUGGGAACCUGCCCUUAGGUUCGGAAUAACUCCCCGACGUGGGUGCUAAUGCCGGAUAAUUUCUGCGGACCAAAGAUUUUUCGCCUUUGGAUGGGCACGCGUUGGUUUAGCUAGUUGGUAGGGUAAAAGCCUACCACGGCGAGGCUCCAUAGCUGGUCAGAGAGAAUGAGCGGCGACACUUGGACGGAGACACGGCCCAGACUCCUACGGGAGGCAGCAAUGGGGAAUACUGGACAACGGGGGAAAGGAUGAUCCAGCAAUGCCGCGUGAGUGAUGAAGGCCUUAGGGUUGUAAAGCUCGUUUACCCGGGAUGAUAAUGACAGUACCGGGAGAAUAAGCACCGGCUAACUCCGUG